AUCAAUGAAUUUUAAGUACGAAACAAUAUUUUCUGAUUGUUCCUCAACAGAUAGCCCUGACUGCUGUAUGGAAAUGAACAGAAGAGGACCUGAGACGCCAGGAAGGAGGCCAGGCAGUGAUCCCAGCAAAGCGCCCUUCGUGGGUACCACCUCUAGUCAAGUAAAUCCCCAGCCACCUUCUCCUGGAGCCUGUGUCUGCCGGGUGUCCGUAUUUGAGAACGGUGGCCGGCCUGCCCUUCCAGAAGAGGAACACACCUGAAAGUGCAGCGGAGUCCAGUUGUCCCCAAGAGCCUCGUACACCAUGCUAAGGGACGGGGUUUACCGCUUGCAGGUUGGAAAGUCAUUGAGUAAUUUUUGCCAGGUAUAAAAUGGUCAGUUUUCUUUGGUGGCUAAAACUGUCGGAUGACAGUGACAAAGAUGGAUUUGAGACUCUCUCCUGGAAGUAGGGACACGUGCAGGACACCAGGAGAGAGAGAUGCAGACUUCACGUGGCUCAAUAGACCUUAGGAUGUAGAAAUGGGAACAG
rnacentral:lncRNA from 1 species